GAAGAAGUGAAUUAAGGGCAUUUGGUGGAUGCCUUGGCAUGCACAGGCGAAGAAGGACGUGAUACGCUGCGAAAAGCCGUGGGGAGCUGCGAAUAAGCUUUGAUCCAUGGAUCUCCGAAUGGGGCAACCCACCUUAAAUGCUUGGAAAAUCCAGUCUGUUUUAACGAACGGCCUGGGUUUCCAAGCAUUGUGAUAAGGUAUCUUACUUUCGAAUACAUAGGGGUAAGAAGCGAACGCAGGGAACUGAAACAUCUAAGUACCUGCAGGAAAGGACAUCAACCGAGACUCCGCAAGUAGUGGCGAGCGAACGCGGACCAGGCCAGUGGCAAUGAUGAAUAAAGCGGAACGAUUUGGAAAAGUCGGCCAUAGAGGGUGAUAGCCCCUUACGCGUAGAACAGUCAUUGUCCUUGAGUAGGGCGGGACACGUGAAAUCCUGUCUGAACAUGGGGAGAC
rnacentral:rRNA from 1 species